UUCUUCUUAUUGAGGGAAUGAUGUUGAAAAUAGGUAUAGUAGUCUCUUCUCCCAUUGCUAUAAAGAAAUUCCUGAGACUGAUUAGUUUAUUUAAAAAAAAAUAGAGAGGUUUAAUUGGCUCACAUUUCUUCAGUCUGUGCAGGGAGCAUAAUGCUGGCAUCUGCUCAGUUUCUAGGGAGGUCUCAGUCAACUUAACAUCAUGGGAGAAGGCAAAGGGGAUGCAGGCCCAUCUUACAUGGCUGGAGCAAGAAGUGGGGGAAGGUGCUACACACUUUUAAGCAACCAUAUCUUAUGAGAACACUAUGAUGAUAACAUCACCAAAGGGGGAAAUCCACCCUCAUGAUCCAAUCGUCUCCUACCAGGUCUCACUUCCAACAUUAGUGAUCACAAUUCAACAGGAGAUUUGUGCAGGACACAAAUCCAAACUAUAUCAAUGGGGCUCUAAUUUAAUGUAUAUUCUAUAUACUGAAGAAGAGUAUUCAUGAUUUCAGAAUGUACCUCUGAACUGGCUGUGAAUUUGGAAGGCAUUCCAGUGCUCUUAUGAGGGCAGCUUUUUCUGGAUGAUAUGGCUCUCAUUCUUCUCCCUGCCACCAUGUGAAGAAGGACAUGUUUGCUUCCCCUUCCACCAUGAUAGUAAGUUUCCUGAGGCCUCUCCAGCCCUACAGAACUGUGAGUCAAUUAAACCUCUUUUGUUUUUACCCACAUUUGGCGGUUCUUUAUUGCAGUGUGAGAAUGGACUAAUAAGUAAAUUGGUACUGGUAGAGUGGGGUGCUGCUAUAAAAAUACUCAAAAAUAUGGAAGCAACUUUGGAACUGUGUAACAGGCAAAGGUUGGAACAGUUUGGAGGGCUUAGAAGAAGACUGAAAAAUGUGGGGAAGUUUGGAACUUUCUAGAGACCUGGAGGGCUAGGAAGAUAGGAAGAUGUGGGAAAGUUUGGAACUUCCUAGAGACUUGUUGAACGGCUUUGACUAAAAUGCUGAUAAUGAUAUGGACAAUGAAGUCCAGGCUGAGGUGGUCUUAGAUGGAGAUGAGGAACUUGUUAGGAACUGGAGUAACAGUCACUUUUGCUCUACAAAGAGGCUGGAGGCAUUUUGCCCUUGCCCUAGAGAUCUGUAGAAAUUUGAACUUUGGAGAGAUGAUUUAGAGUUUCUGGUGGAAGAAAUUUCUAAGCAACAAAAUGUUCAAGAGGAAUCAGAGCAUAAAAAUUUAAAAAUUGCACAGCAUGAUGAUGCAAUAGAAAAGAAAACUCUGUUUUCUGGGGAGAAAUUCAAGCUGACUGCAAAAAUUUUCGUAAGUAAUGAGGAUCCAAACGUUAAUCACCAAGGCAAUGGAGAAAAUGUCUCCAGGGCAUAUCAGAGUUCUUCAUGGCAGUCCCCCCCCGCCGUCCCCCAUCACAGGCCUGGAGGCCUAGGAGAGAAAAAUGGUUUCUUGGGCUGGGCCCCAGGGCCCAUGACCUGAAUGUGAGACAUGGAGUCUACGGGGAUUAUUUUGGAGCUUUAAGAUUUAAUUACUGCCUCAUUGGAUUUCAGUAGGCAUGGGGCCUGUAGCCCCUUUGUUUUGGCCAAUUUCUUUCAUUUGAAAUGUGUGUAUUUACCCAAUUCCUGUACCACCAUUCCCCAUUGUUUCUAGGAAGUAACUAACUUGCCUUUGAUUUUACAGACUCAUAGGUAGAAGGGACUUGCCUUGUCCCAGAUGAAACUUUGGACUGUGGACUUUUGGGUUAAUGCUGGAAUAAACUAAGACUUUGGAGGACUAUUGGAAAGGUACAAUUGUGCUUUGAAAUGUGAAGACACAAGAUUUUGGAGGGUCUGAUGGCAGAAUUAUAUGGUUUGGCUAUGUCCUCACCCUAGUCUCAUCUUGAAUUGUAGUUCCCGUAAUCCUCAUGUGUGGUGGGAGGAACCUGGUGGAAAGUAAUUGAAUCAGGGGGGCAGUUUCCGCCAUGCCAUUCUCAUGAUAGUAAGUUCUCAUGAGAUCUGAUGGUUUUAUAAGGUGCUUUCCCCUACAGUAGGUUCUCAUUGUUCUCCUUCCUGCUGCCAAGUGAACAAGGAUGUAUUUUCUUCCCCCUUUCGUCAUGAUUGUAAGUUUCCUGAGGCCUUUAAUUGUGAGUCAAUUAAGACUCUUUCCUUUAUAAUUUACCCAGUCUCAGGCACUUCUUUAUAGCAGUGUGAGCACAAACUAAUACACCUGACGUUGCCCUUCUUUCUUCACACCAAAUAUCAUUCCUCUCUAUUGGCUCUCAUUCCCAUUUUCUCCCCACCAAACUGAGCAUUCUUCAUAAGUAAGUAAUAUUAUUUGGAUAUUUGUCCCCCAAAAAUCUCAUGUUGAACUGUAAUGCCCAAAACUUGAGGUGGGGCCUGGCAGGAAAUAUUCAGGUUUUGGGGACAGAUCUCUCAUGGCUUAGUGCUGUCUUUGCAACAGUGUGUAAGUGCUUGUGAGAUCUGGUUGUUUAAAAAUGUGUGGCACCUCCCCAUUACCUUUCUCUUCUGCUCCUACUAUGGCCCUGUGAUUGACAGUUCUCCCUCUGACUCUACCAUGACUGUAAGAUUCCUGAGGCCUCAUUAGAAGCCAAGCAGCUGCCUGGCACUGUGCUUCCUCUACAGCCCAUGGAACCGUGAGCCAAUUAAACCUCUUUUCUUUUUAAAUUACCCAGUCUCAGAUAUUUCUUUAUAGCAAUGCAAGAGCUGUCUAACAUAGUGAGAAUUUCUUCCAUUUUUUUUUUCUCUUAAUGUUGGCAUCUUUAACUCAUCCAUUUGGAUCAGUCUUUGAGAGCUUUUAAGAAUCUUAUAUUACUCCCG
ensembl:lncRNA